UUCAACCAAUUUCAGAAAUUCUGAAAUCAGUAAUGGUUCCGGGUUUACCCUAAUGAUGAGAUUUCCGUUCGGAUUGAUUUAUGAGUGAAAUUACACCAAAAAAAACGCACGCCAUGGAUUUAAUUGCCUUCUGCCUCUAUAAAUUGUCUCCGAAAAUCACAGAGCAGCAUCAGUCUCUCCGGUUCAACAUCAACCCAAACAAAGAAAGCAAUGUCAUCACAGGUUACCUGCAAACUUCAAAAGGUAGUAUGCUCAACCACACAUGACACACUCAAGAUCUUACGAUCGCUUGAAAAAGGAAAAACAAGUAUCAUUACCGUCCGUGUUACCAGAAAAUGGGAAGAGUUGGACUUUAUGUCGACCAACGACAUUACCAGCGUUGAUAUGGUUACUGUUGACGAGCAGGGGAAGAGUUGCAUGCCGUCAUACCCAAAAAUCUUAUUUGAAAGUUUGAUAAGUAGAUUCGGGAUGGGUAUCUGUACUCUAUGGAGAAACUACACUUGACCACUGCUAAACCCAAGGGAGGGCCUUUGCUAGAAGAACUGGGUCUUAGAUAAAGGUUUUAAUGUAUAUUGUAACAUCUUCCCGAUAAAUCGAGGAAGCAAAUGUAUAUUAUAACAUCUUUCAAUUACGCAGUUACUGUUGUGUUGCUAAAUACAAUAAUGAGGAUCGUUCCUGCACCAUGGAUGGCCAGAUGAAUGCUUCAGCUAGAAAUCACAACAUUUUCGGAUGGAAAGCAAGCAAAUUUUCAUAAUCAAUACUGGAAUGCUCUUUGAGAUAAGAGUAAGGUAAACCUACUCAUGACAACCACAAGAGCUAUACAUAUACCAUCUUGGUUGUAUUUCACAGCAAGAUUUUUCUCCCAGUGCUCUGAUUUAUUUUAAAACUUGGCUAAGCUUGAUUAAUCUGGGUGUUUUAGGCCGUAGUUUGAGAAUUUUCGAGAGUCUUUAUACUGGAUACGGACUUUCAACCUUAGCAAUCUAACAGUCUAACUAACUCUUGAGUCUCAUUCGGUAUAUAUUGGAGCUAAAUGAUCGUUACAAAUUUGAGUAAUAAAUUUUGAUUUAUCUUUAGGCUUUUUCGUAAUUUUGUUCUCAACAAAAUAGCUUUUGGAUCAUACGCAGUUCUAAUUUGAAAUGUUUGAUUACGAAAUCUUUUGAUAUACAUCAUAAUGUAAUUUGAUUGACUAUGUCUGACAUUAUAAUCCAGGAAAAUACACUUGGAUUGUGUUGCAUCUCACACAUUUUAUUUAGAUCCCAGACCAACUGGAAUUCAACAACUCAGGGUUUUGCAUUUUAUUGAGAUCCAGCAACAAAUAAUUCUUAAUUACUUUAAAUUUGGUCUUCUGUUUUCUAUUUAUUGAAUUUGAAUGGAAAUUCUGUUAACCUGCUCAAUGUUUUAAAAAGCGAAAGCGUAAAUCGAUAUGCUCUCCUAGCAAAGCGUAAAACGCUACUAAAAAGCGUUAUCAAAGCGCCGCUUCACUAAAUACAUAAAUAUUUAAAAAGCGUUAUCUCCCAUUUAUAUUUUGAAUAUGAUAGGGUUCAAGCUACUAUCAAUUAAUUGUGUAGUGAGCACAAUCUAACAUAAAUAGAAGAUAAUACUUAACAAAAAUUUAAAACUCCUACAACUGACGCUUUGCGGGAACUUAUUCGGGAAUGUGUUUUAGGGAAUAUGUAUUGGUCGUUAAAUUUAGAAUUUAAUAUAAUGAAGUUCAUCUGUGUACUUGCUUUUUAAUUUUUAAUCGGGAAAUUUUUCCGUCCAUGUGUCAUAAAAAAACUUCGUUAGGUUUAGAUACUAUGUUCAUCUGUUAUAUGCGACUUCUUUACAUUCUUCCGAAAUUUACCUUUGCUUUCUACAUACUGAUGUGGUUCGAUACAUCUUUUUGCAGCCACAUUGAGCUAUUAGUUUCUUUGUAAAUACUUCAAAAUUGUAAUUUGGUGCUUUGAUAAUUGCCUAAGGUAAGUUAAUAAUUACCGGCUCUCAUCGGCUCUUAAUUUAAGAAAUUUUACCGGCUACCAUCGGCUCUCAUUGCCUAAAGUAAGUUAAUUGUACUGGUUUCUUCAUUAUUCUUAUCGGCUCUCAUCGGCACUUAAUUUAAGCAAGGAAAUAAAUCAGACUAAGGUAUACAAAUUUUCUAAGGUAAGUUAAUAGUUAGGCAAUACUUUAUCUUUUUUUCAACUGCUUCAUCAAGAAAUUUUACUAAUGUCCCUGCCAAAAGAUUAAUGCAGGCGAUAAAUUGGUGCUACUGCGAGAAUGAGUUCAAGCAAGUAAGGAAAUAUUAUUAGCAAACAAAAUCAGGGAAGACACCAAGAGAAUUAGGAGCACAGAAAGUAACAUAUUAAUCUCAUCACAUUAUGGAAAGAGUUUGUUUGUUCUUGAAUGUACGAUUACGCAUUCUUUUGUCAGAAUAAUGAAAAUUUUUACUCCUUUCACUAUGAAUUUGUAGGGGAAGUUCCUUUCUGAUGGUGGAGGUGGUAAAGAACGAAAGAGCGUGUCUUACAUGCCCUCUUUUGAGUUUUGAAAAUAUUAUUGGUUAAGAGUGUGUUGGCAGUGAAACUAUUAACUGGCAAAGGUUUAUUUUUUGGAACAACGGUUUUUCUUUUUUGCUCGAUUUUUGGGAACAACGAUUUAUGGUUUCAACAAGAAUCCAAUAAGAUAAUUGAACUUCUGUUUAUGUAGUCUGCCAUUAAUAAUAGAUUGUUGAGUCAACUAUUAGGAGUCUCG